rnacentral:lncRNA from 1 species
GGUUGCGGUGGGUGCGGUGCGGAGGUCGUGACGGAUGCCUCGCGAGGGGAGAGCGGGGCGGAACGGGCGUGGGGCCGUGGCUGGUGUCUCGCGACGGUGGAACAAUGUGGGGACGCAGGUGGCGCACCGAAGGGGGUGGGUGUGGGUCAACCAUUGACAGAGGAAGGUUGAGGAUCGGCCAUGGAGUGGGAGGAAGGGAAGGG